UUUCUACUCCCUCCGUUCGGAAUUACUUGUCGCAGAAAUGGAUGUAUCGAGACGUAUUUUAGUUCUAGAUACAUCCAUUUCCGAGACAAGUAAUUCCGAACGGAGGGAGUAGUUU
rfam:Triticum aestivum genome assembly, contig: Triticum_aestivum_CS42_TGACv1_scaffold_433255_5DL